AGUUCUCAGAAGAUCUUAUGGUUUUAUAAGGGGCUUCCCCCUUCACUUGGCUGUCAUUCUCUGUCCUGUUGCACUGUGAAGAGGUGCCUUCCACCAUGAUUAUAAGUUUCUUCAGGCCUUCCAAGCCAUAUGGAACUAAGAGUCAAUUAAACCUCUUAUCUUUAUAAAUUACCCAGUCUUGGGUAUUUCUUCAUAGCAAUGUGAGAACAGACUAAUACAUCAUGUUAGUCAGUUUCCCUGAAAUUCCAAUUGCCUUUGGCUUCCCAAGGAAAACCAAAACAAUCAUUUCAUGCUCUACCAGCAUUUUAUUUUUUUUGUGUUGGUUCAUCAACCUACAUUUUCACUUAUUUGUUGAUUACAUUAUUUUUAAAUCCUCUGUAUCACAGAGAUACAAAGUAAUGAAAUAUUGUCAUGGGAGCCAUCGGGUGUCACUUUUCCAGCUAGAAAUUUCUGUGGCUGGUGGAACCUUUGCUCGAGUUUUGCUCGAGGCCCAGAGCUUAUUUCACCCACUCGGCCUGGCAGGCUGCGCUUGCCUCAGGCUACCAGCCUGGAUCCCAUGCCUGCCAAGGGUGAGUCGGGGAUGGAGUGGCACAGGGUGCAUGAGUGAGUGAGUGUGGGGUCUGGCCACUGUGCACAGCCAGGCAUGCCGGCUGCUGAAGCAGGGCAGGCAGCUCCAGACGCCGGCUCGAGCACUGACUCCUGUGCAAGCCUGUGGCUGGAUCAGAUGCACCACAAACAGCUUCCACUGCAGGCACCUGCAUUUGGACAGAGGGAACACAGUGGCUCCUGGGAGCUUGAAAAUGCCAGAGACCGGAGUCUCAAAGAGGGUGUCGCAGCCCUGGCUUGGGGGGCUCCCAUGUCUGGGCUCCCCAAAAGGCCGCAGCUCUCUUCUCCUUCUCAUUGCCCACGACUGGUGAGCAGUGGGGACAUGUUCCAGCCCUGUUUGUUUUUUUAUAGCUCUUUCAGUCGUACCAUUCGAUGGGUCCUGAGUUCUUGUCCCACAUCCAGGAAGAAUGACGUAUGCAGACAACUGAAAGAUGAGCAAGGUGGAGAGGAGCUUUAUUAAGCCACAGAACAGCUCUCUGGAGACUCAAGAGUGGGUAGCUCCUUCCCACAGCUGGUAGUCCCAGCAUCUGUGUGAAAUCUGGCUGAUUCUGGGUUUUUUAUAGGCUCAGAAGGGAGGAAGUGUGUGCUAAUUGGUUUAUGGGUAGCCAUGGGUGGGCCUGGAAAAAGCACCCAUAAGUUCUCACUCCAGGCCACGGACUCGACCUGGAACUAACAGCCCAGCCCCCAGGUUCCAGGCCAUCCCUGGCUUGAAAGUGGGGCUUCACUGGUGACCUGCUCCUUUCCACCCAGGAACCCGUCUGCCUCCCAAUGUCAUCAACAUGCCGUCCAUAGUGCACAAGAUGUUUGUGCCAAGGUGUGCCUGCAGGCCUGGGUCGAGCCACUCUCAGUCACUGCCCUGGCCUCCCUCCCAUGCUUGUCAGUGUCUGAUAUGGUUUGGCUGUGUCACCGCCCAAAUCUCAUCUUGAACUGUAGAUCCUAUAAUUCUUAAGUGUUGUGGGAAGGUCCCACGGAGAGAUAGUCGAAUCAUGGGGUGGUUUCCCCCAUACUGUUCUCGUGGUAGUGAAUAAGUCUCACGAGAUCUUAUGGUUUUAUAAGAGGAAAACCGUUUCGCUUGGUUCUCAUAUUCUCUCUCUUGCCUGCUGCCACGUAAAAUGUGACUUUCGCCUUCCGCCAUGAUUGUGGGGCCUCCUCAGCCACAUGGAACUUUAAGUCCAUUAAACCUCUUCUUUAUAAUUUACCCAGUCUCAGGUAUGUCUUUAUCGGCCGUAUGAAAACAGACUAACACAGUGUCCAAAGUCUGGGGGCGGGGGUCUGAAGCGGCAGGAGGCUGACCGUGUCAGUGCUGCCUGAGGUACACACACUGGCGGUCGCUACAGCGCCUGGGCUUGGCUAAAACUUUGCUCUUCACCAGAGUGGGUUCCAGGAGUGGGGAGAGGCCAGGGAGUAGGAGCGGGCACUUCUGAUCCUGUUGGGGAAGGGGGGUUUCCUGGGCCCCCGAGAGCACAGGGAUGCCCAGUUCUGGAGCUGCACCCAGGAGGCUUCAGCUGUGCCUGGGAGCACGGACUCCUGCCCUGCCCUGCUGACUCGGCAGGAGGUGUAGCUCCUGCCUGUUCCUGUCCCACCGUCUCCUCGGAGCACGCAACCCCAGCUGGACUUCCCUCACUGUAGCUGGCAGCUUUGCAGCCGUCACUCCAGAUGGGCUGCCACUGCCAUCAAUAUUUAAGAUAUGUUGCCUUGUUUGGGAAAUCCAUAAAGUCUUUGCUUUAUGGCAGAUGAAUAUAGUAAAGAAAAGGAGUUAAAUUUAAUUUUGUAGCGAUGUAGUCCAUAGUGACAACUGGAGAAAAUGCUGCAAGUUUGUUAGGAGGCUAAGUCUUACCGAAAGAGAACUGCCAUUGAUACCUAUAAGAUUUAGUCAUGAUCACAAAAUUAGGACUGGAUAGGGAGUACAAACAGCUGAGACAAAAACUAUGAUCGACAGGCACCAUAAUUUUCAAUCAAAUAGCCUCAAAUCCGUACCUUCAAGUGACAAUAGGGAUGUAUCGCAGGUAGAGAAAUUUAUGGUGUGAUUAGUGGAAGAUGUAUGUGUGUGUGUUUGUGUGUACUUAUAUAGUCUUAGCAUAAGUGUAGUUAUUGGCUUACAUAGAUGUGUUUAGUUAGUUCCUAUUAAAACUGCUAUGGAGAAUUUUGUAGAGGUUGAGAGAUCAAAGGGUCUGGAAAAAUGUGGCAUUAAUUCAAGCCAGAUGGGAUCAAUAAUUCUGGAGACAAAUAGUUACAAAUUAUUGUAACUAUUGCAAAGCCCAAAACCUUGAGAGACAGAAUUUUGCAGCUUUAGACCACUGGGAAUAAAAAUACGUUGUUUUGCAGUGUGUUGAUGGUUUAAAUUUUUGACACCUACUGCACUGUCAGUCAGUCUGAACUCUUCUGCCAACUGACAGACACAUCAUUCUAGAGAUGAAGCAAUGGAUUCAAAUAGUUUUUUUUUUUUUUUAACUUUUUUAGAUUAUCUUUCUUCUUUCCUCAAAUACAGAUCAAAACCUAGGGAGGUGACUUUUGUCUUCUUUACUUCGUUAACCUAAAACUGAGGAGAAUUUUAAGUUUGUAAAUUCUGAAUGUGAACAUUUCAGAGGCUGAAUUUCUAUAACUCACAAUCAUGCCGCAGGACAAUAACACAUAGCCAAUAACUUAGAUCUGUGUUCCUUUACUUAGAUUUGUUUGCUAAGGAAAACUAUGGAAACCAUUGUUUCUUCUGAAAGCCAAACUCAGCAUUUGAGAGCAUUUAGUAUUUAGCCGAGUGGUAGAGCAGCAAACUCAUUUUGAGUAAGAUAUUUAAAGAAGGAGCACCAUAUGUCAUCAGCUGGCAUAAUUUAACUUGCAAAUCACAUGUUGGCAAGGGCUAGUUGGCAGCAGAUGGCUGAACUCUUGUGUUUCAGACCCCAAACCUAUCCUUUCCCAUUUUGUGUUAGAAAUCUAAUUAAAAGCCUUUUUAGCACCAUCAGAUUAAUUAUAAACAAGCCUCUUUAUCUGGUAGAAAACUGACCUAUGUUUAUCAACCUUCCCCCCAAGUCGUCUAUUUUCCAAGAUAUUCUUCAAGAAGUACUUUUCUCCAAGCUCAUUUGUUCAAAUGAAACACACUUAAUCUUUGUAUCUUAAAUCCCAUGAGCUACUUCUUAGGCCAAAUAUGAGUCACUUAUUUACUAUUUAGGACAUAAACUGCUAUUAACUUAAAACUACUUGCUAAUUGAAUUAGUACCUUUAGUCAAUUUGGUGAAAUUUGUUGAUAGACAAUCUUCUUUCAGUUAUAUAUUUGCCAUUGAAAACAAGAUUUUAUAAAGCGUAAAGUCUUUUAUCAUAUGUUGGUACAUUAAAUAUCAGAAAAAAGGACAUGUGUUUCAUUAAUUUGCCUGUCACUCUACUAGUUUAUGAUAAGAGGACUGACAUUUCUGUACCAUCUGUUUGUAUAUGACAUAAAAAAGCUAUAUGUGCUUAGUUAUGGACCGAAGUAUUUAGACAGAGUAAAUCCACAAGCAUUUGCUCAACAUUUUGAUAAGUAUUAGGUUAUUUCUCACAAAGAAUUUUGUUAUUAUUAGAUAUUUUUUAUUUUAAAAUUUUGUUGUAAAUUGAAAAAUUAUAAUUAUACAUAUUUUAGUGGUAAACAGUGAUGUUAUGAUAUAUGUAUGCAACAUGAAAUGAUUAACUCAUUAAUCAUAGAUAAUUAGCAUAUCUAUCACUUCACAUACUUGUCUUUUUUUGGUGAAAACAUUUAAAUAUGUAAAAUUCAAGAAAAGCAUAAGCUUUUAUAAAAGGUGUGGGAAUAAGUGACUAUUUCUUUCCCAACAUACGGAUGAAUUGUACUAGUGGUUAAAAAAAGGAGAGUUAUCUUCUGGCUUUUGCUUAGGAUGUAAAAGGCUGGUCAGGGCAUCCUUUGUACCCUUAUAAUAUAGAAAAUAGAUCAUCUGUAAAUUCAUAGUUGUUCUUGGAUUCAUCAGAGAGCUGAGGUUUUGGGGCAGCCAACUAACCCAAAAUCUAAAGGAAGAUAUUCACCUGAAAGGAGACACAGACUAUGAGCAUUUGCUUUUUUGCAGCAGAUGCUGGACCCCAUAAAAUGUGUUCAGAAGAAUGCAACUACAAUUUUUGACAAAUUGCUAAAAACUGACUUUGUUUUAGCAUGAGUGCAUAGAAUCCCUGGGAGCUGCAGUCAGAAGGGGAAAUUGCAGGUAUGUGCAUGAUCACCACAGAGCUCACCAGGUACUUACAAGAGAGAUUAAGAGCAUGGUGGGAGUCCUGAGAAAGCCUUCAUCUUGAUGCAGGCACAGGAGUGGGGAACAAAAGAUGUUGUGGAAGAGGAAAAGGAAAAGGCAGAAAGCCUUACCAAGAACCUUCUCCCCUACUUCUCUACAGAGUAAAAGACAAGCUUCUGUGGAAAGGGCAACAAACACUAUCACCCUCAGACCAGAGGUGAACAUCCUUUGCAGCAAGGUGAAAGAGAUACAAAACACCCUCUGCCCUUGAAGGAGAGACAGGAGACGCCUCUGUUGGCUUCUCUGCUGCUUAACAGAAGUCAUGAGAUGCCUGGGUAACUGACAAAGAACAAAGGACAGUAAUAGCAGUAGCCAGAGUAUCAGCAUAAUUUCCUCAUGCCUGUUCCCCAGACCCUGACAUUCAGAGGACCAGGUGACUCCUAUAGACACGUAAGGGUAUGGAAACUCCCUGACUUAGUUUUCAGCAUUCCAAGAAUUGCCCCGCAAGAAAAAAUGGCCAACACGAUAUCUGCCCACCUCUCGGUGGUUUCAGAGUCUCUGUGAUCUUGGCACCUUAAGUUCUAGCAGCUUCAGCCAGUCUCUAAUGCCUCAAAUCUAAACUUUUUCUAUUUUCCCUGUAUUUCACGUGGGUUUUCUUUUCCUUGAGUUGCUUGCAAGAUGCUUCAACUUAGCCACACCUGGAAUAUAUUACAUAUUUGUUUCUUGUUUAUUUUCCAUCUUCUUCUUUAGGAACGUAAGCUCUGUGAAGUUCGGUUACUUUGGCUUCUUCUCUAAUAAAUCCCCAGUGUCUUGAAAAGCACGUGGCAAUUGGUAGGCACUUAAUAAUGUUAAGUAAAUAGACAAUAGACAGCUGAGUUCACAUAGGUAAAAAAUAAUAAAACCACAAUUUAAAAAUUUUGUUUUCUAUCUUGAUGCCUACUGACAUAUAUAGUAGUUUCUACAUUUACCCGUAUCUCUGUUGGUACAUGUUUUCUUAGUAAAAAGAGUGCAUAUUUUUAGCACAUUGGUUUAUUAGUGCAUAUUUAUGUCUUUAGCUAUAAUCAAGAGGAGAUGUAUGAAUGUUCUUUGAGUUUAGAAAGAGUUACUUUAUUCUCUAGGACCCCAAAAAGGUGUAAACAAACAGAUUAUUUUAUGCACACAUCUGAUUCUUUCCUUUCUUGUAGAGUCCUUUCAAGUCUCUGCAGCUUCAAGCUUGCUGACUUCUUUGAUCAAAAACUGCACUCAUUUUGGAACCAGUUAAAAGGUUGUGUUUUAUAGGAAGUCUUUUAAGAGUUUUUUUCCAGGUGACUCAGUUACUCUCAUCUCUGUGUCGGUUCUUCUGUUAUAGAACUUAUUAUAUUGCCUUUUAGUUAUUUGUUUACAUGUCUGGGUUUCCACCUAAUUACUGAGCUCGUUACAUAAAUAUCUUUGUAUCCUUAGUACCUAGCACACAGCCAGGCGCAUAGAAGUAUCUUAGAAAAUAUUGGCUGGAUGCAUUAUUAAGCUAAGAAUGUUGUCUAGCUUGGGAGUAUGUACAUUUUCAAAAGAUGACAACGAAAUGACACUUUCUAAUUUUGGGAUUUUAGUUAGCAAUUCUCUGUGUAUAAGAGCUAUUGGGAUAGCAGAGAGGCCUUCUCAGAACCACUGGACUCUAUUAUUCUGUUUAUUCCUGAACUUACAAACUUUAAAUAUCUUUUUAUAGCUGAUAAUUCUAUGAAUCAGCCUUAACAUUCAGAGGUGGGGCAAAUGGUGUCAUGUAGGUGGUGUAAUUUAAAGGAAACCAGUAAGAUUUUCCUUCCUCUAAAUUUCCUUUAUUUGUGUUUGAGAUUCCAUAUAUCUAUUGCCUUGUUUUAGCUCUGCAGUCAUGCUGUAGACUAAUCUUAAAACAGAAAUCUGUAGAGACAUGCAUUAAUUUAUUAACCAGAUCAUUUAUCUUCAUGGUAGGAGAAAUCUGGAGAGGCAGGAGCUCUGUAUACCUGGAGAAAGGUAGGAACGACAGGAAGGGAAGAGCAGAGAAAGCAAGGAUGAUAAUUAGGGACGCCAAAGACCAAAUGUGAGUUAUUGACACCUCUGUCAAAAUUUAAUCUUCCCUUGAGGUGGUAUUUUUAUAUAAUAUUGUCCUAACCUGCCAAAAGAGGUGAUGCAAAUAGUACUAUAAACAUCUUUGUGUUUAUUUAGUGGAAUAUUAUAUGUAUUAUAUUAUGAUCCAGAUGGGGAAAAGAUUAGGGUUUCAAAAAGCAUAUAAAGGCCACUUAGUAACAAAUUUACAGAGAUGAAAAUAUCCCAGUGUUUUCUGUUUCUCAUUUAACUAUUCAAAUCACAUAUGAAGAUAGCUGUUUUAUCCUAUUUUUGCUCUUUUUACCACCACAUGGUAAUAAUUAAAAGACCUUUACUAUAAAUCACCCAGUUGUCUAUAGAUUUUGGGUUGCUUUUCAUAGGUUGAUGACAAUGUAAGUGCCUUGGACUGUAAGUACUACCAUUUGGCAUAAUCUUGCUCUAUACUUGCAAAAUAAUAUUCUUUUAUUAUAGAAAUGGACUACUGUCUCUCACCAGCAAUCUUUAAAGGAUACAGAUACAGGUAAAAAGAUGGUGACUCAAGGCUUAGAUAAGUUGGCCACCACCCACAUUCAUAUCUAUAAGCCUUUUCUCUGUAUACGCUUAGAAUAUGGAGCUAUGUUUUCUAUGUAUGUGAUAUAAUUAAGUAACCCUAAGCUUCUAUGAAAAAAAUACAUUUUUGCUUUGAAGAAUUUAUCUAACAGGGGACUCAGCAUCUGGAGGGAGUAAGUUAUAACCAACCCAAGAAUUUUUUUGUCAGUUCUUCUGCCCUCAUCUCCCCCAAUAAUAUAUAGAACUUGAACCCAUUUCUAUCCUUACCCAGUCUCUUUGUCUUCCUGGUGGAACACUAAGGAGCUCACAGUUCUCACUUCUAGGAGACAAAAGUAUCCAGGGAUUUGAAGCACAGAAUCCAGACUUUGUCUCUUAAUAACUGUAAUCUUGGUCAAGAUAUCUAAUCCCCAGAUUCCAUCUGCUCAUCUGUUAAAGUGAGGUUUAAAAACAGUACCUACCUAUAGGGUUGUAGUGAGGGUUAAAUAAGAUAAGGCACACAAAGCACAAUGCUGGAAAACAACAAACAUUUCAUAAAUAAUAGUUGCUAUUAUUCUUAUAGUUAGUGUAAUAGUAUUCCCCCUUCAUGCCCCUCAUGUUUCCAUGAAGGGGAGAGAAUUACUACUUCACUCUCUAGAAAAAAUUACAGUGGGUUGGGGAGAGAACCUCUAUCCUUUCUCUUUUUAUUCCUACCCAUGGGUGGGAGAGUGAAUAAUUUUAUUUGGAACAUGGAAGUCCUAAUGUGUCAAUUUCAGCUCCUUAUCACUUCCCAGAUAUAAUUUGUCCACAGCACAUACAAUUCAGGUGUUCCUUUCACCAAGCCUGCCUCAAUAGACAAGGCUUGUGGUUAUCCAGAUAUGCCAAUGUCUGGUUUAGGAUAAAGCCUAAACAAGCCACUUUAACUACAGAUCUUGAGCUAUAUUCUGCAAUAAGCUUUAUCAGUAGUGUGAUCAUUUUAUAUCCAUGUGUCCAACUUUCCUUUCUUCCUAUUUGUUUUACAGUUGAAUGAGGAAGGUAAAAAGGGCUGUUUAUUUGCUUUCCUGUCCCCCCAAGUUUUUGUUCUCUAAAUCAUUGCUGUGUCCUUGGGUGCUCUUAACUGCAAUUAUCACCAUGGAAUUCCUUUAUAUUUUGAGCCUUAGGCAGUUUUCUCCAUCUGCUGGCUGUGCACUUGCCAGGCAGUGGCCAUUGCCCUUAUUGAACUGGUUCCACAAAUGCCUUUGGCCUGCUCCCAUCACAGCUGCUGAGCUGAUGUGAGAGAUGGUGCUGCCUUAGACACUUUCUCAGUGUUUGUUCCUGCCACUUCCACUGUUGCCAUGGCAGACAUAGGUGCCUUCUCCAGAAGCAGUUAGUAUCUUCUAGUCCUGUGCACCCUGUCUGGGCCUCUGGCGCUCUCCUCUGCAACAGAAGUAAGACACUUCUCCAAAUAUUUAGGACACGCAUUGUGUUGAAUCUACCCACAUUGUGAGAAACGUCACUUUUCUAUUCCCAUGCACAUUUCCCCCCCAUUGGAAGCACAGAUUUUCUCCUUAGAAGCACUCCCAUUAUAGAGUAUGCACCCUUAAUUCUUUCCUUUUGGGUAUCUUCUCCCCUAUAGUAAGAAGAAACCUUCCUUCUAGAUUUAGCUGACAGCUGCUGAAACGAAUACCCUGAUCAAGGAUUGUGAGGCCGGAAGCAAAGGCAUAUUGUCAGUCACGCAGGAAUUUUUUGGCCCAUGUUUUGUGCAAACAGCUGCUGCAUUUUCAAUUUUGAACUUGGCAGACCUUAUUUUAAAUCUGCUUUGCCAAAAACUGUGGCUCUUUUGCCUUAUUUUUCUUUUCUCCCAAUUGGAAAAAAAGAAAGGGUCAAAUAGAGAGCUAAAGUGGGGUCAAUAUGGAGUUGAAUCUCUAGCAAAUGCUACUAUGUAUUUAUCAGCAUCACAUAUUUUGGGGGUAUUUGUGUGGCCAGUCCAUUUAGGUAUGUAUGUAUGUAGGUAUGUGUGUAGGUAUGUAUGGAGCAAAUAAAUCAUAGGCAACCAUGAAAUUUAUGGUUUGUUAUGGUUUUCUAAUGUCUGAGGAGAUUUCUGGUCUAGUAAAAUGCAUAUAUAUAAGUUCCCUUGCAACCCUGUAAUGGUGUUUAUUUCUUUUCCUAAGAUUUCUUAUAUCAAAUAUUCUUCUUGAAAUCAUUCGCCACCAGUUGGUUUUAAAAAGUCAGGAAGAUAAUUUAUGACACAUGAGACUCAAAAGUCUCCAUUUUUUUGUUGUUGCUAUUCAAUGGUUCCUAAUUUCCUACAGAAUAAAUUUCUAACCUUUAUCUGGGUAUAAAGGGAAUGCCUUUCAAUACCCGGCAUGAAACUCUUUCCACCUUGCAUCCUGGAGCACCUCUUUCUUGCCUCCUCCUUAACUUCUUUGUCAUCUUCCUGUUUCCUGGUGCCCAUAAUUCUAACUGAGUGAUUUUUGGGGGGGAACAUGUCAUGCACUUUUAUGCCUCUGAGAAUUUCUUCAUGAUAUUUGCAUCAGAUUUUACUUUAAAUUUUUUUUUCUUUCCCUUGCCUGCUUGGAGAAUUCAUACUCAUCCUUCAGGACCCAACACAAACAAUACCUUUAUAAAGUCGUUAAGUUAAUUGUUCAAUAUUUCUUUGUUUGAAUGUUUGCCUUAUCAACUAGUGAGCUCUGCAAGGGUGAGAUAUAAACUUAUUCACCAAGUUCCUUCCCAGCACUUAUGCUUAUUGUAUUGGGGUGGAAAGAGGAAGAGGAAACAGACAUCUGUCUUCUUAUAUGACUGCCUGCUAUGGCAUCACUUUUCCUAUUUGUUAUUACCACAGGUACAAACUGUUGCCUAAGGAUACAGGGUGUGUGGCUGGUGGCCUCAACAGGCCCCACGGCUCAGGCACUCAGACCCAAGCUGGUCCCUCAGCCCAUAUUACUAAAUGCCUGACUUCAGAAAAAAAACGUAAACAAAAGACAGAGAUUGGAAGCAUCAGAAUUUUAUUCCAGUGACUCAAUCCCCAUUGUGUGAAGUAGACCAGAAUGAAUAAAUUGAACUUACUCAGCACCUCAAUUAUUAAAUGUAUCCACAGAAAUUCAUUCUGUCAAGUUAACUGUGGAGGUUGUUGUUGCUAUUGCAGACUAAAUGGUUUUCCUGGGAACUCUGACUCUGGCCACAAGAUCAAGACUGACAAAUUUCCUUUCUCUGUUUAUGGAGGGAGACUUCACAACAUUCACUGAAAGAGGAGCAAAGGACCUGGUUUUUGCCAUGACUGGCUUUGGCCCCGUGAAUGAAUGUUUUUCUGGCAUUGGAAAGCGGAUAGCAAAGAGAGCAGAACCACAAAUGGGCUAUGAGGAAAUGUGUUCAAUGAAGAAAACAAAAUCUCUGACAAGAUCCAACAUAGGACAACAUCUCAGCAUCUUCUGUGAUUUGUGAACCCAAGUAAAGCACUUCUUAGAGUUAUCUGGCACAUUCGCAACUAAUAGCUUUCUGUGAAUAAAUACUGUGGCAACCACGUUAACUGUACAAAAACAAAUUGCUUAUUUCUUAUAUCCAUGCUGGAAGAUUAUCUGGCUGACCUUAUCAGCUGUGAUGUCAGGAAUGUCAGCCAGUUAUCCUGUGGUGCAUUCAGCUGGGUCAUUGUACCCCAUCAGUGAGGCAAUUGCAAAGUUCCAUCUGGACAGAGGUAGAAAAAAUUAUAUUCACUUUGAGUUUUGGAUUUUUUUCUCUUAAUUUUCAAAGAUAAAGACAAUUGCUUUUGGCUUUUAAGAGACACAUCUGGUAUGCCUUGGGCUGGAUGCCAGAUAUUUCUGCUGUUGAGUUUUUAUAACAUUAUAUAGGCCUCAAUAUUUUAGAACUAGUAUACAUUUGAUAAAAGUGACUUUUCUAAAGUUUUAGGGAGAAUCUUUUGCUUAGGUGCAGCUGAGUAUUUUUAGUUCAGUACUACAGAUGGCAUACCAAAUUUAAGAGGAGUUGAGUGACUGCUUCAAGGUUGCACAGCUAGUUCUUGGUAGAUCUGGAAAAGGACCAACAUCUCUUGGCCCUUUGUCAGAUAUUCUUUCUUUGAUUUCACACUGUUUUUAAAGAUGCUUAAUACAUUUUAAAUUAAAAUGGUUAUUUGAAUCUGCUUAAACUAGACAAUACUAAUUGUCAAACAUCCAUUACCUGCUUUUUCUCUAGUAACAGAUUGGUGCAAAAAGAAUUGCGGUUUUUGCCAUUACUUUUAAUGGCAUUAAUUACUUUUAAUGGCAAAAACCUUAGUUCCUUUUGCACCAGCCUAAUAAUAAAACCCCUAAUUUUAACUUGGCACGUGGCCAACCAGAAUAGAAACUACAUGUUCCUGCUUUGCUUUCAGUAGCAUUAGCUGAAGUAAUCUUCAAUGGGGAUAGGAAAAAUGAGGUGCACAACUGCCUGGUUGCACUCUUAUAGGAAAGGCAUAACCCUCCAUUUCCCUUUUAUCUUUUCCACUCACUAGAGUAGUGAUCUGGUCAUAAUUCAUUCUGGACCAUGUUGACAGGGCAAUAUACUGGAGAUUGUAGAGAAGAAGUCAGAAGGGACUUGGAUCCCUGAUACUAUGGAACUGUCUUGCAGCCCUAGUUUGCUUAUGUCUAGACUUUUAUGCAAGAGAAAAAAUAAACAUUUCUUUGUUUUAACUACUGAUACUUAGAUCUUAGCUACAGCAACUGAACACACAAUGCUAUUUAAUAAUUUGCAAAUGUUAUACUGCCAGUUGAUAUUUUAUAACUACCAAAUUUAAGUGCAGUAAAUGGGCAUUAUGCUUGUUUAAAUGUCUGGCAAUCUUGGAAUUAUACCAUUACCAUCAUAUGUUGCAUGAGAUGGUUUUCCAUUCCAUUUAGAGUCCGUACAAUAACUCAUACAAUGUGUCACUACUGCUGUCUCUUCUCAGCGGGCUUCAACCAUACUUAUUUCUUUGCCGUUCCUAAACAUUCCAGAUAUACUCAGUGUUCCUUCCUCAGGGUAAAUGUUGUUUUGUUGGUGGUGUGGUUUGUUUUUUUUUUAAUUCCUCUGCAGCAAAUCUCUGCCUAGCAUUCUGCAUGUAGUAUUGUGCUUCCACAAUUUUAGAAUUUUGCUCAGUUGUUAUCUUUUCAUUAAGUCCUUUCCUGAUGACAUCAAUAAAUUUCAUUCUCCACUGCUUGGAA